rnacentral:rRNA from 1 species
AGGGCACCACCAGGAGUGGAGCCUGCGGCUUAAUUUGACUCAACACGGGAAAACUCACCCGGCCCGGACACUGGAAGGAUUGACAGAUUGAGAGCUCUUUCUUGAUUCAGUGGGUGGUGGUGCAUGGCCGUUCUUAGUUGGUGGAGCGAUUUGUCUGGUUAAUUCCGAUAACGAACGAGACUCUAUCCUACUAAAUAGUUCGCACCGCCUUUGGUCGGCGCGGCAUUCUCUUAGAGGGAACAGGAGCCACUCAGCCGCAUGAAAUAGAGCAAUAACAGGUCUGUGAUGCCCUUAGAUGUUCGGGGCCGCACGCGCGCUAACUGAAGGGAUCAUCGUGCCCCCCCUUUGCUCAGGGACGAGUGGGCAACCCGAGCCCCUUCCUCGCGGAAUCGUGGGGCUUUGGAACUAUUGCGAUGCACGAAGAAUUCCAAGAAUGUGCCAUUCAUCGGCGUGUAAUGAUUACGUUGCUGCCUUUACUACCCGCCGUCCGUCCUACCGACUGAAGAAUGAAUGACGAUG